CUACGGGAUGCAGCAGUGAGGAAUAUUGCACAAUGGGGGGAACCCUGAUCCAGCAACGCCGCGUGGAGGAUGACGCAUUUCGGUGUGUAAACUCCUUUUAUAUGUCAAGAAAAUGACGGUAGCAUAUGAAUAAGCACCGGCUAACUCCGUGCCAGCAGCCGCGGUAAUGCGGAGGGUGCAUAGCGUUACUCGGAAUCACUGGGCGUAAAGGACGCGUAGGCGGGUUGGAAAGUCAGGUGUGAAAUCCUACAGCUUAACUGUAGAACUGCACUUGAAACUUCUAAUCUAGAGUAUGGGAGAGGGAGAUGGAAUUAGUGGUGUAGGGGUAAAAUCCGUAGAUAUCACUAGGAAUACCUAAAGCGAAGGCGAUCUCCUGGAACAUUACUGACGCUAAGGCGUGAAAGCGUGGGGAGCAAACAGGAUUAGAUACCCGUGUAGUC
rnacentral:rRNA from 1 species